GAGCAGGAGAAGGAGGUGCUGCUGCAGGGUUUGGAGAUGAUGGCGCGGGGCCGCGACUGGUACCAGCAGCAGCUGCAACGAGUGCAGGAGCGCCAGCGCCGCCUGGGCCAGAGCAGAGCCAGCGCCGACUUUGGGGCUGCAGGGAGCCCCCGCCCACUGGGGCGGCUACUGCCCAAGGUACAAGAGGUGGCCCGGUGCCUGGGGGAGCUGCUGGCUGCAGCCUGUGCCAGCCGGGUGAGUGUACCCCAAACCCCCACACCCACGCUGGGGCCCAGGCCAGUUUAGUGCUUCCCCGCCCUCGUCCAGGCCUGCCUAAUCCUGCCCUCCCGCAGGCCCUGCCCCCGUCCUCCUCUGGGCCCCCCUGCCCUGCCCUGAGGUCCACCUCGCCCCCGGUCUGGCAGCAGCAGACCAUCCUCAUG
rnacentral:lncRNA from 1 species